UACGUAGGAUCCGAGCGUUGUCCGGAAUUACUGGGUGUAAAGGGCGUGUAGGUGGGUCUCUAAGUCGAUGGUGAAAUCCUGCAGCUCAACUGUAGAAUUGCCGUCGAUACUGGAGGUCUUGAGUGCGGCAGAGGGAGACGGAAUUCAUGGUGUAGCGGUGAAAUGUGUAGAUAUCAUGAAGAACACCGGUUGCGAAGGCGGUCUCCUGGCCCGUUACUGACACUGAGGCGCGAAAGCGUGGGGAGCAAACAGG
rnacentral:rRNA from 1 species